GAUGAACGCUGGCGGCGUGCCUAAUACAUGCAAGUCGAGCGAACAGAUGAGGAGCUUGCUCCUCUGACGUUAGCGGCGGACGGGUGAGUAACACGUGGAUAACCUACCUAUAAGACUGGGAUAACUUCGGGAAACCGGAGCUAAUACCGGAUAAUAUAUUGAACCGCAUGGUUCAAUAGUGAAAGACGGUUUUGCUGUCACUUAUAGAUGGAUCCGCGCCGCAUUAGCUAGUUGGUAAGGUAACGGCUUACCAAGGCAACGAUGCGUAGCCGACCUGAGAGGUUGAUCGGCCACACUGGAACUGAGAAACGGUCCAGACUCCUACGGGGGCAGCAGUAGGGAAUCUUCCGCAAUGGGCGAAAGCCUGACGGAGCAACGCCGCGUGAGUGAUGAAGGUCUUCGGAUCGUAAAACUCUGUUAUUAGGGAAGAACAAAUGUGUAAGUAACUAUGCACGUCUUGACGGUACCUAAUCAGAAAGCCACGGCUAACUACGUG
rnacentral:rRNA from 1 species